rnacentral:rRNA from 1 species
CCCUUAGAUGUUCUGGGCUGCACGCGUGCUACAAUGAUAAUAACAGAUGGUUACUAUACUGAAAAGUAAUGUUAAUCUAUAAAUAUUAUCGUGCUUGGGAUAGACUAUUGUAAUUAUUGGUCUUGAACGAGGAAUUCCUAGUAAGCGCAAGUGACAAACUUGCGUUGAUUACGUCCCUGCCCUUUGUACACACCGCCCGUCGCUUCUACCAAUUGAGUGUUCCGGUGAAUGAUUCGGAUAUAAUUGAAGUUUUGUAAACCUUAACACUUAGAGGAAGGAGAAGUCGUAACA